GAUGAACGCUGGCGGCGUGCCUAAUACAUGCAAGUCGAGCGAACGGACGAGAAGCUUGCUUCUCUGAUGUUAGCGGCGGACGGGUGAGUAACACGUGGAUAACCUACCUAUAAGACUGGGAUAACUUCGGGAAACCGGAGCUAAUACCGGAUAAUAUUUUGAACCGCAUGGUUCAAAAGUGAAAGACGGUCUUGCUGUCACUUAUAGAUGGAUCCGCGCUGCAUUAGCUAGUUGGUAAGGUAACGGCUUACCAAGGCAACGAUGCAUAGCCGACCUGAGAGGGUGAUCGGCCACACUGGAACUGAGACACGGUCCAGACUCCUACGGGAGGCAGCAGUAGGGAAUCUUCCGCAAUGGGCGAAAGCCUGACGGAGCAACGCCGCGUGAGUGAUGAAGGUCUUCGGAUCGUAAAACUCUGUUAUUAGGGAAGAACAUAUGUGUAAGUAACUGUGCACAUCUUGACGGUACCUAAUCAGAAAGCCACGGCUAACUACGUGCCAGCAGCCGCGGUAAUACGUAGGUGGCAAGCGUUAUCCGGAAUUAUUGGGCGUAAAGCGCGCGUAGGCGGUUUUUUAAGUCUGAUGUGAAAGCCCACGGCUCAACCGUGGAGGGUCAUUGGAAACUGGAAAACUUGAGUGCAGAAGAGGAAGGUGGAAUUCCAUGUGUAGCGGUGAAAUGCGCAGAGAUAUGGAGGAACACCAGUGGCGAAGGCGACUUUCUGGUCUGUAACUGACGCUGAUGUGCGAAAGCGUGGGGAUCAAACAGGAUUAGAUACCCUGGUAGUCCACGCCGUAAACGAUGAGUGCUAAGUGUUAGGGGGUUUCCGCCCCUUAGUGCUGCAGCUAACGCAUUAAGCACUCCGCCUGGGGAGUACGACCGCAAGGUUGAAACUCAAAGGAAUUGACGGGGACCCGCACAAGCGGUGGAGCAUGUGGUUUAAUUCGAAGCAACGCGAAGAACCUUACCAAAUCUUGACAUCCUUUGACAACUCUAGAGAUAGAGCUUUCCCCUUCGGGGGACAAAGUGACAGGUGGUGCAUGGUUGUCGUCAGCUCGUGUCGUGAGAUGUUGGGUUAAGUCCCGCAACGAGCGCAACCCUUAAGCUUAGUUGCCAUCAUUAAGUUGGGCACUCUAAGUUGACUGCCGGUGACAAACCGGAGGAAGGUGGGGAUGACGUCAAAUCAUCAUGCCCCUUAUGAUUUGGGCUACACACGUGCUACAAUGGACAAUACAAAGGGCAGCGAAACCGCGAGGUCAAGCAAAUCCCAUAAAGUUGUUCUCAGUUCGGAUUGUAGUCUGCAACUCGACUACAUGAAGCUGGAAUCGCUAGUAAUCGUAGAUCAGCAUGCUACGGUGAAUACGUUCCCGGGUCU
rnacentral:rRNA from 1 species